UUUUGGUCACAAGCAAAUUCCUCUCAAGAAGGGGACCUUUGAACAGUAACAAUGUCUUUUUCUUUCUAUUUUUCUUUUGAACCGCCUAGAUUAGAACAUGGAAAAAAAGGUCUCGAGAUCCGUGAAACGGCCGAGAGGUACAGCUAGUUUCUUAACGCCCGUCAGCUACCCAUCCGCUUUAUAUUCAAAAUGUUGGAGAGAUUGCUUAAAUAAGUUUUCUUCCUGGGCUGCUUUUCUCCACACAGCAGUGUUUCCCUAAAAACUGCAAACAAGGGAAGAAAAUCUCUUUGUAAGGCAAGUGCAUGAAUACAGAAAAAGUAUUUCGAGUAUUUAACUGAGCAACUGAAAGAGAAAAAAAAUGGAUUGAGGAACCAUUUGAGAAUAUGUUGCUGUUUCCUAAAGAGGAACAAAAAAUAUAACCUCUGGGAUGAUGAUGAAUGAAGCAGAGAGAAAGAUUUCCUGUUCAUUUUUAAUUUUGGCCAGUUUUGGAUUUGCUCUAACUGCGCCCACUGUGUACCUUCCAAUAAUUUUACUCUAGUGGACUGCAAUAUGAACCAUGAAAUGUUGUCCACUCUUCACUUAGAAAACCAUUUUAGCUCCUAAAAAUCAGAUUUCUUGUUUGAUAUUGUUACUCUCAACAGAUAAACUCAAUAGAUCAACAGAUAGAGCAUCUCUUGUUGGUUUUUCUUAUUUAGACAGAGACAGUAUGGCUUCAGUACCCAUUUAUAGCUAUCCUCCAAAUUAGCUUACUGGAAUCCAUUACAUGUGGCAGCCUCUGAUGACUGUCUGCCCACUUCAGUUAGUUCGGAAUACAGCUAGUUAGCUUUUUGGUAUACAAUAAUCAGUACCCUUCACAAGUAGGACAACAUUCUCACUCAUUAUCAGUCUAUUUGUAAUAGACAUAGCUGUAUGUAUAAUCUUUUAUAAGAUGGUAAUGCAGUGAUUAGAAUGCAGUAUUACAGGCUAAUUCUGCCAACUGCCUGAAG